UAACGCGAAGAACCUUACCUAGGCUUGACAUGCACGGAAAUCUCGCAGAGAUGCGGGGUCCGUAAGGGCCGCGCACAGGUGGUGCAUGGUUGUCGUCAGCUCGUGUCGUGAGAUGUUGGGUUAAGUCCCGCAACGAGCGCAACCCUCGUUCUAUGUUGCCAGCACGUCAUGGUGGGGACUCAUAGGAGACUGCCGGGGUCAACUCGGAGGAAGGUGGGGAUGACGUCAAAUCAUCAUGCCCCUUAUGUCUAGGGCUGCAAACAUGCUACAAUGGCCGGUACAAAGGGCUGCGAUACCGCGAGGUGGAGCGAAUCCCAAAAAGCCGGUCUCAGUUCGGAUUGGGGUCUGCAACUCGACCCCAUGAAGUUGGAGUCGCUAGUAAUCGCAGAUCAGCAACGCUGCGGUGAAUACGUUCCCGGGUCUUGUACACACCGA
rnacentral:rRNA from 1 species